rnacentral:tRNA from 1 species
GGGGUUGUGGCUCAAUAGCAGAGCGCUUGCCUAGCACGCAUGAGGCACUGGGUUCGAUCCCCAGCACCACA